rnacentral:rRNA from 1 species
GAUGAACGCUGGCGGCGUGCCUAACACAUGCAAGUUGAGCGAUUCUCUUCGGAGAAGAGCGGCGGACGGGUGAGUAACGCGUGGGUAACCUGCCCUGUACACACGGAUAACAUACCGAAAGGUAUGCUAAUACGAGAUAAUAUGCUUUUAUCGCAUGGUAGAAGUAUCAAAGCUCCGGCGGUACAGGAUGGACCCGCGUCUGAUUAGCUAGUUGGUAAAGUAACGGCUUACCAAGGCGACGAUCAGUAGCCGACCUGAGAGGGUGAUCGGCCACAUUGGAACUGAGACACGGUCCAAACUCCUACGGGAGGCAGCAGUGGGGAAUAUUGCACAAUGGGCGAAAGCCUGAUGCAGCAACGCCGCGUGAGCGAUGAAGGCCUUCGGGUCGUAAAGCUCUGUCCUCAAGGAAGAUAAUGACGGUACUUGAGGAGGAAGCCCCGGCUAACUACGUGCCAGCAGCCGCAGUAA